GGUAUUGUGGCUCAGCGGUAGAGUGCUUACCUGGGACAUGAAAGCACCGAGGUUCGAUCCUCAGCACCA
rnacentral:tRNA from 1 species